rnacentral:rRNA from 1 species
GAUGAACGCUGGCGGCGUGCCUAAUACAUGCAAGUCGAGCGAACAGACGAGGAGCUUGCUCCUUUGACGUUAGCGGCGGACGGGUGAGUAACACGUAGGUAACCUACCUAUAAGACUGGGAUAACUUCGGGAAACCGGAGCUAAUACCGGAUAAUAUUUCGAACCGCAUGGUUCGAUAGUGAAAGAUGGCUUUGCUAUCACUUAUAGAUGGACCUGCGCCGUAUUAGCUAGUUGGUAAGGUAACGGCUUACCAAGGCAACGAUACGUAGCCGACCUGAGAGGGUGAUCGGCCACACUGGAACUGAGACACGGUCCAGACUCCUACGGGAGGCAGCUGUAGGGAAUCUUCCGCAAUGGGCGAAAGCCUGACGGAGCAACGCCGCGUGAGUGAUGAAGGUCUUCGGAUCGUAAAACUCUGUUAUUAGGGAAGAACAAACGUGUAAGUAACUGUGCACGUCUUGACGGUACCUAAUCAGAAAGCCACGGCUAACUACGUG